GAAAAAAAAAACAGAAAACCAUGAAAAAUAUUUUAAAAAAUUAUUAAGCCAGACAAAAUCAACACUGACUUCUGUAAAAAUCUAAAAGUAAGGAGAAAGUGAGAUAUGAACACACUUCACAAGUGGGUGUUAACUGAUGGUCACAGUGAGGUAGCUGCCAGGCAGGCAGGCAGGUAGGAGCCAUGGAGAGGAGGAAGGCGAGCUCCUCACAAUCCACGCUUACAGAAAACUGCUCCUGGCAGGCUGGGUGCAAGGACUGCAAAGUGUCGACACGGCACGUUAUAAUCCUGUGGUUCAGAGCUGGUAAGUGGAUGGUAUUUCCAUAUGCAGAUGAGUAGUUCCAUGUGGAGAUGUUUGCUGACUUUUUCCCCAAUAAGAAGACAAAGUACAGAGCGUGGGGAUGAAACACAAGCAGGCUUCAAUUACCAAUGUUACCAAUGGCCCACGGCGGUUACGUAUUUUUCUGUAUUCUACCAAAAAUGCUUACUUAAUAAAUAGCAAAUAAUAAAUUUAUUUGACAACUGAUCUUUACUUUCGAUUUUCUGGUAUUUAACCAAGGGAAGUGAGCACUUUAAGCCUUGAGUUUUAGCUCCUGCACUCAGGAGACCCAGAUAACUAUAUUCUGGAAGGCUUUUCUUCCUUCUAGUUUCCCUUUUUGCCCACUGCAUUCUCUGAAAACUACUAUAAAAGAUGCCAUUUUAUUGCCUUUAUUAUUAUAGACGGGCCCACCAGCUUCGGCCCAACGAUUCUCGUAUGCUGGUUGCCUUAGGAGAAUGUUAUGAGAAACUCAAUCAACUAGUGGAAGCCAAAAAGUGUUAUUGGAGAGCAUACGCUGUCCAAGAAUGCUAAGAAUGAAGGUUACACUGAGAAGGUGCCUUCCUGAUGCCCAGGCUGGCCCUGGACUCACUGUCACCCUCAGGGUCAGUCUCUUGGAGUCUGUGGAUAAGAGACUGUCUAUUUCCCCUUUUAUUAUAUAAAAUAUUGAUGAACAUGUAGUCUUGAGAUUAUUAAUGUAUUAGAUUGUUAGACAGGACCUUAUAUAACACACUGGGGACAAAUGACUAUACAGCUGAGGAGGACCUUCAGUUUUUGUUUUACUUGUAUGAGUGCUUUGCCUGUGUGUGUGCACUCCGUGUGGGUGCCUGGUGCUCACUGAGGUCAAAAGAGGGCAUUCGACCCCCUGAAACUGGAGUUACAGAUGAUUGUAAAUUUCCAUGUGGGAGUUGAAUAAAACUCAAGAUUCUCUGAAGAGCAGCGAAUGUUCCUAACUGUUGAGCCAUCUCCCUAGCUGUGAAUUUGAAUUUCUGAUACCCUUGCCUCAAAUUCCUGAAUGCUAAGAUUCCAUGUGGGGAGGAGAAGGCACAAGGAUGUGAAGUCCAGAGUAAUUGUGUGUUGUUAAUAUGGGCAAGCCUAUGUCAAGGACCCCACAGACUCAGACGCAUGGGAAAUGGCACAGCCUUUUCUCCUGGUCUGAGUGUGAAUUCUGAUGGUGUGUACAGAUAAUGGCCACCACAGCUUUCUCCCUCUGGCCUGAUGUUUAUGCCUUGAAGGCAGCUCUCCUGUAGAGGCUGUCCCUACUGAAAUGAGCUAAACCUGACUCCUUGUCUGUCUGUUAGCAAUAACUUCACCUCCUUGUUUAACACUGUACAAUAAACACGCUGAGCACCCAGGGUGCUGUGUUUGUGUGUCCGUGUGUUUGUCUUUUCCUCAUUUCCCCACUGUCUCAGCCACACCCAUCUCUGGAGCUAUGCUGGACAUAGCCAUUACAGGCAUGUAUCAUGUAUGCAGUUGAUGAGGUGCUCUGGGGUUAACUCAGAGCUAUGCGCAUGACACAGCAUGAAUGUGGAAGUCAAGGGACAAGUUAGUUUUCCCCUACAAUUAGGUGUAUUCCUGAGACUUAAACGAUUUAAACCUAAGUGUAUUUGAUAAAGGAGCAUGGAGUUCACAAACACAGUAGCUUCCAUGACGAUAGCUAUUGGCAUCUGUACUACACAGAAUGAGAUUCAUAUUAUCUUGAAGGAUAUUUUUGUUGUAAAAACUAUCUGGUAUGAUUCCUGCAUUGUACAGAAACUGCAAACAGAUAGUAUAAUGUUUCUACCAAUUAAAAAUACAGUUGUCUAAGUGGAAUUCAGAUUCAAACUCCUGUGGGAUUAAAAUAAGUAUCUGUUGGUACACAAUAAUUUUUUUCUUCUAUUAACCUUAAUUAACGAGUUGUUAUGGUAAAGCAGGCCUGUGAUCCCAAUAUUUGGGCGGAUCAGGUCCUCUUAAGCUGUAUAGCAAGUCUGACAUCAGUCAGGGCACAUGAGAUUCUGUGUCAAAGACAAACAAAUCCCCACAAAACAAACAAAGCAAAGCAGCAGCAGCAAUGACGACGGUGACACUCAGUAACCGUUACAUACUUAGGUCAAAAGCUGCUUAAGACACAUUACAUUUUAUAAAUGAUUACAAAUUCAGUUACCUUGAAUUCUUCAUAGGUGACCUGAGUACCUUUGAAGGUCAAGUCCCCAAAUCUAAAAGCUGCACUGCCGAGUU
rnacentral:sRNA from 1 species